AACAACAAAAAAUCGACCCAAACCAGUCGAGUUGGGUCGGUUAGGUGGUUUUCUCGAGUUGGUUUGGAUUUUGCCCACCUCUAGUUUAUGGUUCAUCCAUGGAGUGAUUUCAUAGUUGGAAAAGUUUUUGAGUUCAUGAGAUAGUGGGAUAAAAAGAUAGUUGAUUUUUGGGAAGGAGUCACACUAAUUUGAGCUUUAUGCUAAUUUCUAAUUUUACAAUCCAAGCUAGUAGCUCUUAGGGCUUGCUUAGGAGAACUUUUUUAUUUUAUUUUAUUUUUCAUUGGUUUUAGGUGGCUCCAUUCAUGAAAAGUUAAAAAAAACCUGUGCUUACUAGUAUUUUUGACAUCGUUAUUUGAUGGUUUAAAAAUCACGUAAAAUCGGUAUAGUGUAAUUUUGACCGGUUCUCUCAACCCACCAAAUUAGCGGGUUUUGGUUGUUUCUUAU
rnacentral:lncRNA from 1 species